rnacentral:rRNA from 1 species
UACGUAGGGUGCAGGCGUUAAUCGGAAUUACUGGGCGUAAAGCGUGCGCAGGCGGUUUGCUAAGACAGGUGUGAAAUCCCCGGGCUUAACCUGGGAACUGCGCUUGUUACUGGCAGGCUUGAGUGUGGCAGAGGGGGGUGGAAUUCCACGUGUAGCAGUGAAAUGCGUAGAUAUGCGGAGGAACACCGAUGGCGAAGGCAAUCCCCUGGGCCUGCACUGACGCUCAUGCACGAAAGCGUGGGGAGCAAACAGG